rnacentral:rRNA from 1 species
AUUGAACGCUGGCGGCAUGCUUUACACAUGCAAGUCGAACGGUAACAGGCCGCAAGGUGCUGACGAGUGGCGAACGGGUGAGUAAUGCAUCGGAACGUGCCCAGUCGGGGGGGAUAACGCAGCGAAAGCUGUGCUAAUACCGCAUACGAUCUAUGGAUGAAAGCGGGGGACCGUAAGGCCUCGCGCGAUUGGAGCGGCCGAUGUCAGAUUAGGUAGUUGGUGGGGUAAAGGCUCACCAAGCCAACGAUCUGUAGCUGGUCUGAGAGGACGACCAGCCACACUGGGACUGAGACACGGCCCAGACUCCUACGGGAGGCAGCAGUGGGGAAUUUUGGACAAUGGGCGCAAGCCUGAUCCAGCAAUGCCGCGUGCAGGAAGAAGGCCUUCGGGUUGUAAACUGCUUUUGUACGGAACGAAAAGGUUUGGGUUAAUACCCUGGGCCGAUGACGGUACCGUAAGAAUAAGCACCGGCUAACUACGUGCCAGCAGCCGCCGUAA